ACAGUCAUAUCCCGUUGGAACACCGCUUUUCGUACGAUCACCGAAGUUAAGCAACGUCGAGACUGUUGAGUAUGUAGAUGUGUGACCACUUGGGAAUACCAGGUUCUGUA